UACGGGGGGAGCAAGCGUUGUUCGGAUUUACUGGCGUAAAGGGCGCGUAGGCGGUCAGCACAAGUCAGUUGUGAAAUCUCCGGGCUUAACUCGGAAAGGUCAACUGAUACUGUGCGACUAGAGUGCAGAAGGGGCAACUGGAAUUCUCGGUGUAGCGGUGAAAUGCGUAGAUAUCGAGAGGAACACCUGCGGCGAAGGCGGGUUGCUGGCUGACACUGACGCUGAUGCGCGAAAGCCAGGGGAGCGAACGGG
rnacentral:rRNA from 1 species